GGCUCCUCCCUUCCCCGAGCUCGGCGCAGCCAAGGGCGGCACAACCGUCCCCUACCUCCACUGCCCCCUGGAUCGGAGGGCAUGGCCGGGGCGCCGGGGCCACGUCUGGGGUGGAGCUGUCCCCCCUCCCACCCUCCGUCCCGCCCCUCCCGGGCUGCCAGGGGAAGAGGCAAGUCAGACAGGAAGGCCUGGGGCCGAUAGCGCGGGCGGAGGGAAUGCCACUGGGGUGAGCGAGCGGGGCCCAGGGCCCAUGUCACUGCCGCCCUGCCCCGCCCCCUCCGGGUCACCCGGCGGGGGCCCAGCCUGGCAUCGCGACAGUCGCUGCAGCUCGCCGCAGAGCCUGGACAGCUCCCUGGAGCACAGGGAAGACCAUGGAGACUUCAGGGUUCUCCUCCCAGACUGAAGACGACAGUCGAGUCAACAGAGAAAUAAAAGAUGAAGACCGGCAGGGGGAUUUCCACGAGCAAGACGGAAAGGCCAGGCUCUCUCCCCAAGGACAGCGUGAGAGAGACAAGUCUUCCUCCUCCUCCUCCUCGUCCUCCUCCUCCUCCUCCUCCUCCUCAGGUAUAGCAAAGACGUCUGUGUAUGUACACAUAUUAU
rnacentral:lncRNA from 1 species